GAUGAAAGCUGGCGGCGUGCCUAAUACAUGCAAGUCGAGCGAAUGGAUUAAGAGCUUGCUCUUAUGAAGUUAGCGGCGGACGGAUGAGUAACACGUGGGUAACCUGCCCAUAAGACUGGGAUAACUCCGGGAAACCGGGGCUAAUACCGGAUAACAUUUUGAACCGCAUGGUUCGAAAUUGAAAGGCGGCUUAGGCUGUCACUUAUGGAUGGACGUGCGUCGCAUUAGCUAGUUGGUGAGGUAACGGCUCACCAAGGCAACGAUGCGUAGCCGACCUGAGAGGGUGAUCGGCCACACUGGGACUGAGACACGGCCCAGACUACUACGGGAGGCAGCAGUAGGGAAUCUUCCGCAAUGGACGAAAGUCUGACGGAGCAACGCCGCGUGAGUGAUGAAGGCUUUCGGGUCGUAAAACUCUGUUGUUAGGGAAGAACAAGUGCUAGUUGAAUAAGCUGGCACCUUGCCGGUACCUAACCAGAAAGCCACGGCUAGCUACGUGCCAGCCGCCGCAGUAA
rnacentral:rRNA from 1 species